GAUGAACGCUAGCGGCAGGCCUAAUACAUGCAAGUCGAGGGGCAGCGCGGUAGCAAUACUGGCGGCGACCGGCGCACGGGUGCGUAACACGUAUGCAACCUACCUUCAACUGGAGGAUAGCCCGGGGAAACUCGGAUUAAUACUCCAUAACACAGGGAUCCCGCAUGGGAAUAUUGUUAAAGCUACGGCGGUUGAAGAUGGGCAUGCGUUCGAUUAGCUAGUUGGUGUAGGUAACGGCUCACCAAGGCGACGAUCAGUAGGGGAUCUGAGAGGACUAACCCCCCACACUGGUACUGAGACACGGACCAGACUCCUACGGGAGGCAGCAGUAAGGAAUAUUGGUCAAUGGAGGCAACUCUGAACCAGCCAUGCCGCGUGCAGGAUGACGGCCCUAUGGGUUGUAAACUGCUU
rnacentral:rRNA from 1 species